UAUUGGACAAUGGGGGCAACCCUGAUCCAGCAAUGCCGCGUGAGUGAAGAAGGCCUUCGGGUUGUAAAGCUCUUUUGUCCGGGAAGAACUCCCAUCUGUUAAUACCGGGUGGGGAUGACGGUACUGGAAGAAUAAGCCCCGGCUAACUCCGUGCCAGCAGCCGCGGUAAGACGAAGGGGGCUAGCGUUGUUCGGAAUUACUGGGCGUAAAGCGAGUGUAGGUGGUUGUCAUAGUCAGGUGUGAAAGCCUUGAGCUCAACUCAAGAAAUGCACUUGAUACUGGGCAGCUAGAGGACCGGAGAGGAUAGUGGAAUUCCCAGUGUAGUGGUGAAAUACGUAGAGAUUGGGAAGAACACCAGUGGCGAAGGCGGCUAUCUGGACGGUUUCUGACACUAAGACUCGAAAGCGUGGGGAGCAAAC
rnacentral:rRNA from 1 species